GACGAACGCUGGCGGCGUGCCUAAUACAUGCAAGUCGAGCGGACUGAAUGGGAGCUUGCUCUUGUUCGGUCAGCGGCGGACGGGUGAGUAACACGUGGGCAACCUGCCCGCAAGACCGGGAUAACUCCGGGAAACCGGAGCUAAUACCGGAUAACACCGAAGACCGCAUGGUCUUUGGUUGAAAGGCGGCGCAAGCUGCCACUUGCGGAUGGGCCCGCGGCGCAUUAGCUAGUUGGUGAGGUAACGGCUCACCAAGGCGACGAUGCGUAGCCGGCCUGAGAGGGUGACCGGCCACACUGGGACUGAGACACGGCCCAGACUCCUACGGGAGGCAGCAGUAGGGAAUCUUCCGCAAUGGGCGAGAGCCUGACGGAGCGACGCCGCGUGAGCGAAGAAGGCCUUCGGGUCGUAAAGCUCUGUUGUGAGGGACGAAGGAGCGCCGUUUGAAGAAGGCGGCGCGGUGACGGUACCUCACGAAGAAGCCCCGGCUAACUACGUG
rnacentral:rRNA from 1 species